ACGCCGCGUUAAACCGGAAAAGAAAUCUACUGCCAGAGUUCAUCCCAAAGAGGGUAAAUCUCGACGAACGAGUGAUAACAAAUUCCCAAACGGGACCAUCACACCAAAGAGACACAGCCUAUCUGAAUGGCUUUGACACGUAGUUGGCUGAGCAGGUUGCCCUUUAUCCCAACCUGUACGAUCAUGAGUUUUACAAGAACAAACGGAUUAACGCUUGUUAUCGUGGCAAGAAAUCGCAAACAAGCUUGUGGAACCGUUUUAUCCGAGCCAGGAAAAAGGCGGAAUGCGGUUCCUCGAACACAUCACUGUUGUUAGAGUCGCUGUCAUGGCUGGUGGGCUUUGUUAAAUACAAGACGACGGAGGCAGAAAUUCAGAGGAUGUCUUUAACCCAACCUGCAAAAAUCCAAAUAGACGUUAUGAGAUUGUGUGAAGAGGUGCAACAUUGUCUUUACAAUGGGUCCUUAAUACAUAAUAGAGACGUGGAAAAGGACAGCAAUUUGUGGAGGGAAAUUGCAAAGAAUUUGGGAGUGAGUGAAAGUGUUUGUUGAAUAAAGUGGAAAUCUUUAAGAGACAAAUUCGUGAAGACGAGGAAGAGGCUGCAGCUGAAGAGAAGAAACUGUGCAACCUUGCUUCUGCUCCCCAUAUAUAUUCCUUGAUGGGCUGGCUACAGUCACCCUGCUCCAGAAAACUGUUGAUCUCAGCGAUUCACCGCACUGCUCAACAGCAUUGCCUACAGAGGGGUUGCCAUCUCCACUCAAUCCCUCCUUCUCAGCAUCAACAACUGUCAUGAAAAAAUCCACAGCCACUGAGGAUUUUAUUCAAAACGAUCUCCAGGAGAUUAAGAAGAUUAUUAAGAAGGCCAAAGGUCCAAGGGGUGCAUUUGUUUGAACUGUAGUAUUAAUGAGCUUCAACAUUGCUGGUUCUGCUCAUGUAAUUUGAUAAAUAAGGAUAUAAAUAUAUAUUUUGUAUUGUUAUUAUUUCAUGAAUUUAUCUUACCAUUUCUGUCUCGGCUGAAUUCUCUCUCGAGGCCUGCGUGCAAUGAACAAGGGCAACUCUGAAGUAGCUUUUGACACACAGACUGUGCUGACAGUAACAACUGCAGUGUCCAUAAACAUUUAAAAGCGUGGUCACAAUUGAGCUCUUGCACCAUAAGUGGAACAUGUUUGUAUAGCUGCGUCUGUGUGGUUUAACAUGUGGGGAGAAGCUUCUACAAAUCUGUGCCACUACAUGGUGAAAUUUUUGUGGCAUAUCAAUACAGCCAUCGUAUUGUGUUAAUUUGCAAUAUUGUAUCAAUACAGGGACACCAGAUAUCAAUAUUUCAUUAAAUAAAUUAGAAUACUGUAGAAAUACAGUGAAAAGAGCACAAGUGCACCAAUAUCCUAGGAUAGCGUUAGCCGAGCAAACUUGGAUUAAAUCGUCGGAACUGAAAAAUCACCCAAUACUGAGUCGACGAUUUCAUUCUAUUUAACUGCGGAUGUCAAGAAUUUAUGACAGUGUUGGUUAUGCUUGGCUCUUGAUGGAGGCGUCGCACUUUCUCCUUCUCCCUCUCCCUUAUCUUUCCUGCUUGGCAUCUCAUGUCUUUUGUAUAGUCUCGCUUAUUCUCUAACCCUUCUGAUUCUGAUUCUAAGAGAGUCUCCCAGACUUGUUCUCUAAAAACCUAAAGAAGAAUUAUGAAUUUGAUCAACUGGCCCCUUAAUGCAACUGACACCCUCCUGGGCUUGGGAGAGCCUAAUUGUCCCUCAGAGACGUUUGCUGCUGGAUACUCGAUGGUCAGUUGCGUCGUGUGUCUGGCGACACUCUCGAUGGAGGACAUUGAACGACAUCUACCAAUUCGGAACCACGAUAACAGAGUUCUGGCUGAUUGGAGCUCGGACCUGGCUUAUCAAAGAACAAGAAGCGGCUACAGCUGUUCAAAAUCCCACAAGGCUGGCCAACAUGAUAGGCGAUGGGCAGGGCUGUGAGUACUCAGACUGUGUUUUUGAACGCAAUAUGGAUAAGAUCAUGGAGAAGCUCGUGGCUCUGCUAUAUGGAUAACAUCUUGAAGAAGAACAAUAGGAAUUGAGAGACCUGUGACCAGUGACGGACAUUAGACCAACAGUAAAACUGGAUGCAGUUUGUUCGCACUAACAAAACAGCUACCAUCUUCAUCUCAUGCGGCCCUCUGGCGCCAGCUGGAUGCUCAAGGCAAAAGCUGAUGGGAAUAACAAUUCUCCCUUAGAUAAGAAGACUGUGUUGUGACUUUUUCCCUCCUCGUUCAAGGCCACGUGCGUCGACCGAAGACUGUUGACUUUUGCCUAACCGGGUGACGGGACACUUUCUCUCGGCUAAACACAGAACACACACAUAUGCAUGUACACUGGCACAGACCUACACCCUGUUGGAGCUCAGUCGGGGGGGAGUUAUUAUUUUCUCCUCGUCUUUCCUCAUGUUGCGCAUUUUCCAUUGUUAUACCUCUCUGACCUGUCUUCCCCAUGUGAUGUUGUAAUGUAUGUAUGUAUGGUCGGAAGGGUAAGAUGACGCUGGCAAAGGUCGGCAGCCUAACCCAACAAAUUUCCCACGUGUGGGACUAAUAAAGGUUAUCUUAUCUUAUCAUUUUGCAGCGUUAAAGUAAGUGAUUAAAGUAAGAAAACAUUAUCUUAUUGGAUAAAAUGCAUAUUGACGAAGUUUUGAGGGCAUAAUUUGCAGUUGGAAAAAAAGGUGAUAAAUCGCAGUAUUCAUUAUUGCAGAACUCUCAGUAUAGUGCUGUAAGGUGAUAAUGUGGUGUUUGUCAGAUUUCCGUCUUCCCCUGUCCUCCCUGAACCUCUUGGUUCCGCCUUUCAGGCUGAUGUCAGCGUGUAUGUGGCAGGUUGCUCAGGAGAGAAAAGUAGGGGAGUAUGAAAACUGUCCAAAUUCAUCUCACUGGUGUCAGAGAUGAUCCCAGACCUCCUGGGCUACAAACGUAAGACUCAGCUGAUCCUUGGACUGAGAGCCCAGCUCAUUCUUGAAAUAGUGAAGAAGACGAAUGAUGGCGACAGUUUCCAGCAGAAUACAACAAACCACGUGGAUGCAGAAGUAAGAUGCAGUGUAAUAAGCAUCUUAGUUUGACAUGUUUUGCACUAUAAAAGUGAUUUUGCUGUCAAAUUUAGAUGCUGAUAUUACUGUUUAUUGUAUGUAAAUAUACCUUUUGGCUUUGUGAGAGUAACAAGAUGAAGAGGUGGAGAUUUCAAAGUCACCAUUGGUGGAUCUCAUUCAAAUGCUACUUCGAGAUCAGUCAUUGGGAGUUCUUCUAUCGACUGGAAGAGUUGUGCCCAGUGCCAAGUGUCUCAGGUAUGCUGCGGGGUAAUGAAAAAGAAGAAAAGAGGUGUACUUUAAUGCAAAUGCUGUUCAGUUAUUUAAAAAAAACCCUGACUCACAAUGCGACAAAAUGUUCAGUAGUUGUACAGGACUGAAAAAACACAUGUUUAUGCACACAGGAGAGAAGCCUCACAGCUGUGUAACAUGUCACAAGACGUUUGCUCAGAAAUCCAACCUGAAAAUACAUCUCAAAGUUCACAAGAACAUCUAGCAAAAUGGCUGUGGGAGCUUUUGGAGACGCAGUUUGCUACAGAUAUGGUUCAUUUGAGUGUCAGGACAAGUUUUGAUGCUAAAAAUAAUAAUUUGCAUUUGGACAUAUAGUGCAUUAAAAUGUGGAUUUUUCCUGUGCUGUCCUGUGUUGAAUUUGUGUGCUAAUAUUGCACGUUACUGUAAACGGGUGUUCUGGAUGACCCAAAUUAAGAUGUCCAUGUCCUAAUUCAUGGACAUAAGAAAUUUUGAGUUAGACUGUCCUGUCACCCAAACACUUAUAUAUGAGCUGUUGGUGCUGUGAGAAUGGUCGUCACUUGAUAAAUGCACUAGAAAGAUGUAAUAUUUGCAUUUUUAUGGAAUUAAUGGAAUGAAAGAAAGCUUAGUUUCCUAAUGUUUUUACCAGCCUCUGUUGUGAUGCCUAGUCUGUUGUUUUCUGCAUUAAAAGUUUCCAUCCCGUCCACAGUAACAAGUCAGCGAGUAUCAUUUAAUGCUGAUGAUGGUGCAGUAGAUGGAAAAACAAAAGAAUUAAAAAAUCACUACAGAAAUGCAUUUUUAAAUGCAUAUUAAACAUGAUACGCCUAAAUCACUUGUCUGUGUAUAUGUUAAUAUGUGUUUUAAGCUCUUUAGUCUUUAUUUUGAUAGGACAGUGGAGAGAAUGCUGGUAAGCCGAGACAAAGACCAGGGGAAAACACGCAGAAAAUGGAUUUGGGGCAGGUUCAAAGCCUGGUCUCUGCAUCUGUGGGUGCAUGCUUAACCAAGUAAGGUCAAGCAGGCACCUACAGACGUGAGUCUUCACAGUGUACUCGACAACAGCUCUUAUAGCUUGACCAGGAUAUUAACUGAAGCUUAUCUACUAUUAUUCAACACAUUUGUUUGAAACAAGGAUUCAUGUGCACCUCCAUACAACUCUCAUCCUGAACAAUAGUGUAUUUUUAAGACUUUAGUUUGAAAGUUUCCACUGAGGAUUG